rnacentral:rRNA from 1 species
UACGGAGGGAGCUAGCGUUGUUCGGAAUUACUGGGCGUAAAGCGCGCGUAGGCGGCUUUGUAAGUUAGAGGUGAAAGCCCGGGGCUCAACUCCGGAAUUGCCUUUAAGACUGCAUCGCUAGAAUCCGGGAGAGGUGAGUGGAAUUCCGAGUGUAGAGGUGAAAUUCGUAGAUAUCGGGAGGAACACCAGUGGCGAAAGCGGCUCUCUGGGCCGUUCCUGACGCUAAGACACGAAAGCGUGGGUAGCGAACGGG